ACUCUAAUAGUUACAAAAAAACAUUGGUCUUGU
rnacentral:tRNA from 1 species